rnacentral:rRNA from 1 species
CCUACGAGAGGCUGCAGUGAGGAAUAUUGGUCAAUGGGCGCGAGCCUGAACCAGCCAAGUAGCGUGAAGGAUGACUGCCCUACGGGUUGUACACUUCUUUUAUCAAGGAAUACAGUGAUGCACGUGUGCCUUUUUGUAUGUACUUUAUGAAUAAGGCUCGGCUAACUCCGUGCCAGCAGCCGCGGUAAUACGGAGGAUCCGAGCGUUAUCCGGAUUUAUUGGGUUUAAAGGGAGCGUAGAUGGGUUGUUAAGUCAGUUGUGAAAGUUUGCGGCUCAACCGUAAAAUUGCAAUUGAUACUGGCAGUCUUGAGUACAGUUGAGGUAGGCGGAAUUCGUGGUGUAGCGGUGAAAUGCUUAGAUAUCACGAAGAACUCCGAUUGCGAAGGCAGCUUACUAAACUGCCACUGACAUUGAUGCUCGAAAGUGUGGGUAUCAAACAGGAUUAGAUACCCGGGUAGUC